rnacentral:RNase_P_RNA from 1 species
UAGUAAAGUUCAAAAGCAUAUUAAUUUUUUUUCUAAUACAGCCAAGUCCGUAAUUCCCUUAGAGUUAAUUAUUUAUCGCAGUUUCUGCGAACCAGCUGGUUUGAAUUAUUUUACUGCUUUAGAAAAUAGAUUAUCUAAAAGCCGUUUAAAUAUAAAUUUUUCUAACGCUUUAUUUAGGCGAAUAUCAAAUAAUGGCUUUAUUCCUAAUUAUACGAAUACACAAACUGGCUUAA